UGCUUCCGGAACCUCUCCCGCUUCACUCCCAAUUCCCUAUAAAACGCUCUCUUUGGCCUCGGCCAAGCAAAACACUAAGAAGCAAAUUCCUCCCUCGUCUCUUUUCCGUUUCUUUUAGAACCGUCAUCGAUCCAAAAUGGUGAAGGUCCAGAACCAUCACCUUCCUUCACAAAGGCCUCAAAUAAUCGAAUCAUUGAUUUACCAAAGACCGGCAUCAAAUGGUCAUUAUUAUGAAUACCCGGUCAAAAGAGAGAUGAUGAUACUGGUUCCCUAUACAUAUGACUUUUUUGGGCACAGCCACUUCAACUGGUCAGUACUCGAACUCGUCGCAGCAUCAGGGAGAUGACCAGGGCAUGCACAACUAUGGCAACUAGGGAAGAAAUUAGAUCAACGUGAAAGCUGGUGUGCUUUGACCAUGGCAAUAAGAGAUGGAGCUUUCAUGUUUUCUGGUGGUUUUAGGGUUAGGGUUAGGGUUAGGGUUUGAGUUUUAAGAUUAGGGUUAGGGUUUGUCUGAAGAAACUAGACGCUGCCAUCCAUGCAACGGAUCAACGAUUUACCAGAAGCGAACAUCUUACCGGAAGGAAAAGGAAUUUAAUUUAGAUAAUAGUUAUAGUUGAGUGGUUAGUUAGUGACUUAAUGCGGUUGUACGUUGAAGGUCAUUUGGUGUAUAAGUUUGUGAUUGUAAUCUGAUACCAAUCAAUGAAUUAUAAUGUUUCUUUCUUCA